rnacentral:SRP_RNA from 1 species
CCUGGGGCAGUGGCACAUGCCUGUAGUCCCAGCUACUUGGGAGGCUGAAGCAGCGGAUAGCUUAAGUCCAGGAGUUCUGGGCUGUAGUGCACUAUGCUGAUAGGGUGUCUGCACUAAGUUCAGCAUCAGCAUGGUGAUCUCCCAGGAGCAAGGGACCACCAGGCUGCCUAAGGAGGUAUGAACUGGCCGAGAUCAGAAACGGAGCACAUAAAAACUUCCAUCUUGAUCAGUAGUGGGAUUGCGCCUACAAAUAGCCACUGCACUGCAGACUGGGCAACAUAGUGAGACCUUGUCUCUU